GGUGUGUUGAAAUCAAGUUUGUUCGAUCGCAGGGACUAUUUGUGUCAAACUGCGAAACUGUACCGAUUUGUAUAGUAAUGAACCUUCCGGAACUUGAUCAUAAGUUAAACAUACCCUAAAUAUCCUUUACAUAGCUUAGAAAUAGGCUUUGAGGGGUUCGGUAUGCUAAAAUAAACUUUAUUGAUCAAUAGGGACUAAAAGCGUCAAAAAGUGCACAAGUUUGCAUUUUCGCGAAUAUCUUACGUUCUGAAUAUAUCCGGACAUCCAAAAAUCUAUGUAAUCAUUAAAAUAUUUUAUUUUAGUGAUUGGCAUGAUAAAAUUCCAUUCGUCGCUUAAUUUGGAUCGUUUUUGCGUUCGUUACGACUUCCGUCGUAAUUAAGCGAAUAACGCAACCGUACGACCAAACGAACCGACAUCCGAGAUAUUUUUGAGCAUGUUUGGAGUUCCUUAUACUUUAACUUCAUUUUAGAGCCUUGAAAUGGGGUUAACGGGGCUUAAACGUGUCAAAAAUGGGCCAAAAUGCAUGUUUCACAAGUUCAUGGACUAAACUGCAAUUUCUGCAUAGUUAGCCCAGGCGGGCCGCGUAAGUUAUAGUGCAUGCUUACGCGGGCCGUGUGAGACACCCAGUAACAGAAAACUUUUUUCUGAAACAGCAGCUAGUAUUCAGUGAAUUUGGACAUGCUUUUGACCAAUCUAGGGGCAAAUUUUGAUGGUUUUCUAGUACCCCUAGUAUUGCAAAACAAUGGGCGCAAGUGGAGGGUCUAGAUCGAAGCUCGUUUCCCGAUAAACGAUCCUAACGGUUCUAGAUUUCCUAUAAAUACCCACCAUGUUUUCAUUCAUUCCUCAUAUUUGAAUCUGAUUCAAGCUCUCUAAGUGGAAGUAUAUGCUUCCUACCUGAGAGAGAAUCAGGUUCAAAUCUUGUGGGGACCUUCUGUAAGUAUUCUUUCGUGCUUUUCUUUCGUUUUAGCGUUAAAGUCAAACUGCAUUUGACUUUCUGCAUUGACCAAUUUAUGGUCAAUGGAAAGUUCGUUUGAACUUCAUAACGUGAGCGUAAUCACGAUGGUUAUAGUCCCUAGUGACUAUACCUACAGAUUACCACGUUAUCUAGGCUCAGUGACGAGUGGUAGUUUCGGCCAAAAUGCGUUUUCUCGCGUAUUUUGUAACCAAACUAUUCUAGGGUAUUAAAACUGUUUGUUUUAAUACCAAACCUGUUUUCUAACUUUGUUAAACAUGUUUCGACAUGUUUAGCUCGUCACUUUUAGUUUAGUGCUUGUGUAGAGUCGUAAGUCAAGCGGACUAAACACCCGCUUAGACUUUCAAACACGACCCGUUUGGUCGAUCAUUAGGAUCCGACCAAACAUGUUUAGUGACCAUAGUUGUAUAGGGAAUAACCUUCCGAGGUUAUACCUUAUGGUCACCUAGUUUAAGUAGUUGUAUGAUAGGUAGUUUAUAUGCCUUAGGUAAAUUACCAAAAUACCCUUUUCAUACAUAAUUAGUAAUUAAGCAUAUGUAACCUAAGCUUUUGCCACAUAAUCGAUUAUGUAACAUAUUUAAACAUAAAGAGGCAUAUAAUACUUGUCAUAGGACUAGUUAGACGUCUCAAACUCGCAUUGCGCACACGACGCGUUAACGUAGCGUAAGCUACCUUAACGGGUCAUAAUGGGUCGUAAGCACUUAGGUUAGGUUUCCUUUUAGUAUGUAGGCCUUGUUAAACCAUAUCAUAUGAGUUCCCACACUCAUUUGGUUUACGAGACCUCAUACUAUCCGAUCUCCCGAUUUAGGUCCGGUUUAUUUAUGUAGUUAUCAAUAUUAGGUGCCGUUUGAUUCUGUGCUCCCUCUAGCUUGCUUGGUAGUUGUCCAAGACUUCUAAGCACUCUCAAGUGAGUACAUAGUCCCCUCUUUUACUGUUUUCAACUGUUUUGGGGUGAAACAUGUGUACCUAUUUGUUAUGUUCUUGUUUUCAAAAGUAUAAUUGAUUAUACAUGUUAAUACUUAUCUUUUGACAAACUGAAUGAUUAUUUAUGGUUUAAACACUGAUUUUUCAAAGAUUAUAAAAUAAAUUGUUGGAAUAGUACUUAUUUUUGUUCACCAGACCGGUUGGUAGUAUGAUAUAGCGCUAUAGGAUUUGACACCCCAUUCCUGUUGUCAUGGAAUGUCUGAAACCAAUUUGUUGCUUCAUCCAAAUAGGGAUUGCCUUUGUGGUAUUUCUAUAGUCUCAAAGGUGUAUUUUGAUGCACUGGGUCUGAAUGAAUUCAUAAAUCACAUUAUUUUUGUAUAUUGAGUUAUACUCCCAAAAGUAUAGUUUGAUAUGCUCUCAUAUGGGAUAUUGUACAAAAACCAACAUAUAUUUUGUUAAUCAUUAAAACAUAGUUUGAUAUGUUAUUCUCAAAAUCAAAAGCAUAGUUUAAUAUGUUAUUUUCAUAACCAAAGCAUAGUUUAAUAUGUUAUUUAUAAAUCCAAAGUAUACUUUUGAUAUACUCCUAAAAACUUAUUUAUUUUACCAACUAAAUUAUGGUUAAUAUACUAUUUACUUAAUAAGUGGUUUUUGGUUAGUGUUUAGAUAACGGGAGGGGUGUAAUGUGAUGAAAACAUGGUAGAUACGCCGCUGGUACUUCUUAUAUAUAAGUGUUUUCAUCGCUUUACAUACCGUGGCGUUAUUUAGUACACUUGGGUUAACGGUUUUGGAACUGAAAUAUAUUUUAAUAUAUUACUUAUUCGAUUUUCUUAAAACUAAAGUAUACUUUUAUAUAUACUAUGAAUAUUUUUAUCAAAAUAUUGUUUUUCAAACAAUAUAUUUUUAUACAAACUUAUUCUAUUUACUUAUUCAAUUUCCUAUGUAUUAUUAUUUUAUAUCAUCUGAUUUCUUACAAAUGAUUUAUAAAAGAAAACCUUUUACAAGGAUCAUGACUACUUUUAUUAAAAACUUUUUCUUAAAACUCAUAAGUCAUGAAUCCUAAAUACAAUAAAACCUAUGUAUCUCACAGGCAUUUUUAUGCUGACGUACCUAUUUUUACACAUGUUUCAGGUGCUGCUCUGUGAUGAUUGAUGAUAUAUGCUACACUUAGGAUGGACUCGUGCCUUAGCAACUUUAAAACUUGAAAGAUAAUAGUUGUACUUAUUUGAUUGUAUUAAAACAAUGAGUUCAUUUAUUCAAUAAAACAAAAUUAUUUAUUCCAUGGUUGUGAAACAAUGAUUCUGUUACAACACUCCCCGACGUUUCCGCCACGUUUUGUUGUUUUACGUGGUCGGGGUGUGACAGAAAAGUUGGUAUCAGAGCCAAUGGUUAUAGGGAAUUAGGUUAUUGGUGAUGCUUUGACCUAGACUAUAACCUUCCUAGAACCCUAACACAAGUUAUCUUGUGUUUAGUUUUAAAACGAUACCGUCACUUAUUUUUAGGUGACAACCACAAUAAGAACACAAAUUUCUAUCCCGCUUUGAAAACUAAUCAUCUGUUCUAGGAUGAUUUAUUAUAUGGUUUUGAACCCUUUAAGUUUUCAAAAUCCCGUCAAAGUUUGGUCUAAAUAAUGUGAACACGUGCAAACUGGAAGGGUGGAUGCCUGUACCCUGGGUCUUCUGUCUAAGGCUAGAGUGUUCGUACAAAUCCGUAGUAUCGGACCAGUCACUCUUACUUGGGAACUCUUGGGGUGAGUGUCCACUUAUAGGCGAGCAUGUCUUCGCGAUACAUUAUAUUGACCCAUUUACUUUGAUAAGUCACCGCCUCAUUUGUUUGCCUUAGGUAACAAACAAAUGAUCGCAAAUUUUAUGCAUUGUUAUUCUGUUUUCAUUUCCCUUGUUUCCUCCCAUGUCUUCCAUUUUCUUCAUAAUGCCUCUUCAUCGCAACAAGACUCGAGUGUCCGGACCAGGUGCUGCAAUUUUCCAUCAAUUAGGCGUCGUACUACCAGAAGGCCGUUGAUUUAGCUAUCACCAUGACUCGUCUCAGGGAUGAAGCCGUGUAAGGGAACCGCUCCUUGGAGCAAUCAAUGCAACCGUCAUAAUCCGAAUCAAAUACCUUGUUUCAAAUGUACCCACGGUGGACGAUGGGGACAUUUGGUUAACAUGUGCCGCUUUGCAAUCCAAAGCAAAGCUGUUACAAAUCCUGAUGCUGCUCAACCUUCAAACUCUGCUUCAUAUGUCGCUUGGCAUAUCUAGCACCUCAACCUCAUGAACUUUCUACCUUGUGUAUCGACUUAAGCACACCUAGUGCAAGGUGUCGAAACACCUCUCAUUACACAAAAUUCCAAAUUCCAAAAUAGGAUCUUUCUAUCCUCAUAAUUAGAUCCUUAUGGAUGAUUAUCAAUCAAAUCGGAGACCUUAAUUGAAUUAUUCGCAUGUCUUAAUACGUAUAUUACGAUUCAACAAGGAUAAAUCCGAAUUCCUAUUAAAGAUCUUUCUAUCUCCAUAGUUAGAUUCUUAUGUUUAAAGUGCCAAAUGAAAUCCACGAAUUGGAUUCCUGGUGUGCUUUAAAUAUCCGUGCCCAAAGAUAACAAAUUAAUAAUCAAGUUAAUCAAUUAUGUGAUUAUGUGCUUAUGUGUUUUCUUAUGUGUUUUGUGUUUUUAUGUGAUCCAUCCAAAUCCUCAUAGAAUCUUCCAUAUCUCAUAUGAGGGAUUCAUAGUAGCAUAUCUAAAGGUACUAUCUCAAAUCCUUAAUGGACUUCUAUGUUGUAGUUAAAGUCCCUUGGAUUUAAAGUACUAUUCAAAUAUUGGACACCUUGAUUGGUCUAGUUAAACAGAUUGAUUCGAAAAUCUGGUUAGGAAUAUCAUGUGAUGAUAUAAUUGAAAAGAUCCCUUUAAGUGGUCUAUUUAAGGAGAUCAUACGACGGUCUAGUUAAGAAGAUCAUGUGUUGAUCUAGUUAAAAAGAUCGUUCGUUGAUCUAGUUAAAAAGAUCCUUGGGUGGUCUAGUCAAGUCGCUUCAUGUUUAUUAAAUUGAUUCUUCCCCUACGCAUUAUGAAAUGAACUGUGCAGACUGUGCAAGGAAUUACGUAAUUAUGGAGGCCUACAUAAUUAUGGAAAUUCAGUGCACAGAAACCACAUGAAGUUUUAUCAUGUGUUAAGACCUCUAGUGACAAGAAUAAUGAUACGGGAGAAGUCUUGGACUUUGACCGAUGUCAUUUUAUCUUACAAUCCCCAAUUCUGAUUUUAAGCACACACAAGUUUCCUAUGAUACGUCUUCAUGAGAAACGUUCUUCUGUCCAUAGUUCGAAACUCCAUGUUUUGAUACUACAAGGACUUCACUUUGAGGAUUGACAAUUUCUCCAAGAAUCCUAGCAUGGCCCAGAGUUUUAAUUAAGGGUUCAAUGGAUUUAUUUGAAAGCGAAACUGUCACAACUGUCUUCACAAAGUUUCCUCUAGAAUUAAAUUUCGGGACGAAAUUUCCAAAAGUGGUGUCACUUCAACCAUCAAACAAAUGCCAAACCAAUGAAAUAUUGUACUUCAUACUUGGGAUUUGUAAAAAUAUGUGUAUCGUUUGCACAUAUCAAUUCUUGUCCGAUUUCAAGCUCUAAAUCGCUUUCUGGAAGGUUAUACACGCAUUGAUGCGUAAAUAUAACUAGUUUAACGCAACAAACACUCUGGAAUAGUGAAAUAGGCUUCACAUCCUUAAAUAACCUCCACAUAACUUAGAAAUAAGUUUUGGAUGGUUUGGUGUGUUGAAAUCAAGUUUGUUCGAUCGUAGGGACUAUUUGUGUCAAACUGCGAAACUAUACCGAUUUGUAUAGUAACGAACCUUCCGGAACUUGAUCAUAAGUUAAACAUACCCUAAAUAUCCUUUACAUAGCUUAGAAAUAGGAUUUGAGGGGUUCAGUAUGCUAAAAUAAACUUUAUUGAUCAAUAGGGACUAAAAGCGUCAAAAAGUGCACAAGUUUGCAUUUUCGCGCAUAUCUUACGUUCUGAAUAUACCCGGACAUCCAAAAAUAUAUGUAAUCUAUGUAAUCAUUAAAAUAUUUUAUUUUAGUGAUUGGCAUGAUAAAAUUCCAUUCGUCGCUUAAUUUGGAUCGUUUUUGCUUUCGUUACGACUUCCGUCGUAAUUAAGCGAAUAACGCAACCGUACGACCAAACGAACCGACAUCCGAGAUAUUUUUGAGCAUGUUUGGAGUUCCUUAUACUUUAACUUCAUUUUAGAGCCUUGAAAUGGGGUUAAUGGGGCUUAAACGUGUCAAAAAUGGGCCGAAAUGCAUGUUUCACAAGUUCAGGGACUAAACUGCAAUUUCUGCAUAGUUAGCCCAGGCGGGCCGCGUAAGUUAUUGUGCAUGCUUACGCGGGCCGUGUGAGACACCCAGUAUCAGAAAACUGUUUUCUGAAACAGCAGCUGGUAUUCAGUGAAUUUGGACAUGCUUUUGAUCAAUCUAGGGGCAAAUUUUGGUGGUUUUCUAGUACCCCUAGUAUUGCAAAACAAUGGGCACAAGUGGAGGGUCUAGAUCGAAGCUCGUUUCCCGAUAAACGAUCCUAACGGUUCUAGAUUUCCUAUAAAUACCCACCAUGUUUUCAUUCAUUCCUCACAUUUGAAUCUGAUUCAAGCUCUCUAAGUGGAAGUAUAUGCUUCCUACCUGAGAGAGAAUCGGGUUCAAAUCUUGCGGGGACAACAAGCGAAAAUGAGAUGGGGAUUCCAGCAAAGGUUCAGCUACAGCUCAGUCUCAAGUUCAGAAGCGCAAGACUGAUUACUACCAGAGCCCUGGUCAGCAAUCUUCGGGUAAUCAAAGACAGGGUGGAUAUCGAGGAAACCUCCCAAGGUGCAAUACUUGCAACAAGCACCACAACGGCCAGUGCAACAAGGGUCGUUGUCAGCGGUGCCUCAAGGUGGGUCAUGAGGCUAAAGAUUGCAGGAGCUCACGACCUGCAAACCAGAAUCAACAACAAUAACCACCUGCUCCACGAAACCAGCAACAACAGCGUGGCAACAGAGGAUGCUAUCAAUGUGGUGCUGAAGGCCACUUCAAACGUGACUGUCCCCAGUUAAACCAGAACCAGAACAACAACAAUAACAAUAACCAAGGCAAUGGGAACAACAACGGGGGAAAUAACAAUGAUGGGAACAACAGCGCUAGGGGUCGUGCAUUUGUGCUGGGGCAGGGUGAUGCCAGGAAUGAUCCUAACGUGGUUAUGGGUUGCAUUUCUAAAACAAGGCACGGUUGGAAUAGGAGGACCAUGAAGAGUCGAGUACUUAGUGGGCGUUCAAUUUUUAAAAGACUUAGAUUAUUUGCUUCCGCUGUGCAAUGAAGAUACCAGUCCAGUCACGCCAAUGCUCUGAUAAUUUCGGGGUGUGACAAUUCACACAGUAGGAUCGAUGGGAUGGUUAGGCUAUGGGAUGUUAAUUUCAUGAUUAUUAGUAUUGUGAUAGAUGUUAUGUAAUAACAAUGGUAGUUGGACGGUCCAAUAAAACUUCAAUGU
rnacentral:lncRNA from 1 species